GAUGAACGCUGGCGGCGUGCCUAAUACAUGCAAGUCGAGCGAACAGAUAAGGAGCUUGCUCCUUUGACGUUAGCGGCGGACGGGUGAGUAACACGUGGGUAACCUAUCUAUAAGACUGGAAUAACUCCGGGAAACCGGGGCUAAUGCCGGAUAACAUGUUGAACCGCAUGGUUCUACAGUGAAAGGCGGCUUUGCUGUCACUUAUAGAUGGACCCGCGCCGUAUUAGCUAGUUGGUGGGGUAACGGCUCACCAAGGCAACGAUACGUAGCCGACCUGAGAGGGUGAUCGGCCACACUGGAACUGAGACACGGUCCAGACUCCUACGGGAGGCAGCAGUAGGGAAUCUUCCGCAAUGGGCGAGAGCCUGACGGAGCAACGCCGCGUGAGUGAUGAAGGUCUUCGGAUCGUAAAACUCUGUUAUUAGGGAAGAACAAAUGCGUAAGUAGCUGUGCGCGUCUUGACGGUACCUAAUCAGAAAGCCACGGCUAACUACGUG
rnacentral:rRNA from 1 species